GGGGGUGACCUGGUCUCGACGGGAAUAGUGAUACUAAAGCUGCAUGCCGAGGGAUCCAUUGACCUCGUAAAUCCUGAUGGAAACUCAUAAGUGCAAACACUUAUGAAUAUGCUCUGGCUGCUUAAUUAACAGCCGGCAUCCUCUCUGUCUUUGUCUGUAAGACGGAAAAAGGAUGUUAUAAAUACAGGCUGGCUACACAUCAUGUCUGAGGGUGUGGGGCGAGACUAAUCAGGCUGGCUGCUCAAGAAUCCUGCCUCAGGGAGUUGAGAGCGGCGAGACACUAAAUCAGAGGAUAAGCAUGUAGUAUGCUUUCAGUUGAGCAUUUUCGGACGCGGGUUCGAUUCCCGCCACCUCCACCA
rfam:Nitrospinae bacterium RIFCSPLOWO2_12_39_16 rifcsplowo2_12_sub10_scaffold_1344, whole genome shotgun sequence.